UGAAGCUGCACGUGAGUGUCACACUGUCAGAUUCAUUUUACAGCUCUCCAAAUGAUCAUCGGAACUAACAUUUCAGUGUGUAACCUUCCAGGAUGUUUUCUGUGUGAGUAUGCACACAUGCCUACACAAACCCAUUGCCUCCUGUGCAUUCCUGGAACUGGCUUGCUCCUCCCAGCACUUGAGCAUUCCACACCACGAUGGACCGAUGUAAUUGUGGCUAGGUUGUAUUCCAUGCUUUGGAACAAAAUCCAACUUUGCCCUUCUUGUUGGAAAUUUUGGGUACUUCCAGUUUUUAUAAGCACAAAUAACUCUGCCAUGAUUAUCCUUAAGCCUCCCCUCCUGCACAUUUCUGAUGAUUUCCUUGGAAUACAUUUUUAGAAGGAGAAUUUCCAGGGCAAAAUGCAUGCGGCUCUGUUUAUACUGGUCGCACUCUGCAGAUUUUCUUUACUCCCAUGGCCUCGUGUCCUCUCUGUGCCAACCACAUCCAAAUCCAGCUCCAUAGCCGGACCUGUAGCUUCAGGCUUCUAGACCCAACACUCUUCACUGG
rnacentral:lncRNA from 1 species